rnacentral:rRNA from 1 species
UACAGAGGGGGCAAGCGUUGUUCGGAAUUACUGGGCGUAAAGGGCGCGUAGGCGGCCUUCUAAGUCGAACGUGAAAUCCCCAGGCUCAACCUGGGAACUGCGUCCGAUACUGGAUGGCUUGAAUUCGGGAGAGGGAUGCAGAAUUCCAGGUGUAGCGGUGAAAUGCGUAGAUAUCUGGAGGAAUACCGGUGGCGAAGGCGGCAUCCUGGACCGACAUUGACGCUGAUGAGCGAAAGCCAGGGGAGCAAACGGG